AUUGAACGCUGGCGGCAUGCCUUACACAUGCAAGUCGAACGGAUUCAAGAGGCUUGCUUCUUGAGUUAGUGGCGAACGGGUGAGUAAAGCAUCGGAACGUACCCAGUUGUGGGGGAUAACGUAGCGAAAGUUACGCUAAUACCGCAUACGCACUGAGGUGGAAAGCGGGGGACCGAAAGGCCUCGCGCAAUUGGAGCGGCCGAUGUCGGAUUAGCUAGUUGGUGAGGUAAAGGCUCACCAAGGCGACGAUCCGUAGCUGGUCUGAGAGGACGCACAGCCACACUGGAACUGAGACACGGUCCAGACUCCUACGGGAGGCAGCAGUGGGGAAUUUUGGACAAUGGGCGAAAGCCUGAUCCAGCCAUGCCGCGUGAGUGAAGAAGGCCUUCGGGUUGUAAAGCUCUUUCAGACGGAAAGAAAUCUUUCGGGUGAAUAUCCCGGAAGGAUGACGGUACCGUAAGAAGAAGCACCGGCUAACUACGUGCCAGCCGCCGCCGUAA
rnacentral:rRNA from 1 species